rnacentral:lncRNA from 1 species
GAUGUGCACCUUCCUCAUUUCAACUUCAUGGUAUUGCUACUCAGGAAAUAAAACAGAGGGAAAUUUUGGCUGCGUAAACAGUAUUGAAAAUACCCAAGUGUUGAUUAAACACUUUUAAAAAUGCUAUCUCAGCUUGAAUAUAGAGCUCAGAAAAUGAGAAGCACUUCGUUAGAGGCCUCCAGUUUGAUACAAGAAACUCGCUACUCUGAAAUCCCUGAUAAAGUCAGAAGUGGUGUGUACCCAACAGGAUGCAUUUGCAGUAGCUUCCCAACAUCCCCUAUCCCUCCCUCCCCGCGAGGCAGCUGCUGGCUUUUGGUGGGGCCUGGGUGCCAGAAGAGGGAGCACGGAACACAGCAGAGCCCCAGCCUGAAUGUCCCUGCUGCUGCCUCAGCUUUGGGUCUGCUUGCCCCCAAACUUUGUGCUGCAUCCAAAGACCUAAAAUUUGGAGUCUGCAGGCCUUGGAGAUGGAGAGAAGUUGAGCAUAAAGAGAGCCUGCUGAGUAUUUUCAAGACUGAGAUUUGGAAAGAAGUUUCUCUCAUCCAUUUAUGA